AUUGACCGCUCUCUGGAUGCUUUACACAUGCAAGUCGACCGCGUUGCGGACGGGUGAGUAAUAUAUCGGCACGUGCCCACUAGCGCGGGAUAACUCCUCGCAAGUGUGGCUAAUACUGCACACUCUUUGACCCGCCGAUAUCGGAUUAGCUAGUUGGUGUGGUAAAGGCUCACACAGGCAACGAUCCGUAGCUGGUUUGAGAGGACGACCAGCCACACUGGGACUGAGACACGGACCAGACUCCUACGGGAGGCAGCAGUGGGGAAUGUUGGACAAGGGGGAAAACCCUGAUCCAGCCAUCCCGCGUGAAUGAGAAGGCCUUCGGGUUGGAAAGUACUUUUGGCAGAGAAGCGGUAGCUGCAGAAUAAGCACCGGCGAAAUACGUGCCAGCAGCCGCGGUAAUAC
rnacentral:rRNA from 1 species